AUUGAACGCUGGCGGCAUGCUUUACACAUGCAAGUCGAACGGCAGCACGGGGGUAACCUUGGUGGCGAGUGGCGAACGGGUGAGUAAUAUAUCGGAACAUAUCCGGAAGUGGGGGAUAACGUACCGAAAGGUACGCUAAUACCGCAUAUGCCCUGAGGGGGAAAGGAGGGGAUCGUAAGACCUUUCGCUUUCGGAGUGGCCGAUAUCGGAUUAGCUAGUUGGUGAGGUAAAGGCUCACCAAGGCGACGAUCCGUAGCUGGUCUGAGAGGACGACCAGCCACACUGGAACUGAGACACGGUCCAGACUCCUACGGGAGGCAGCAGUGGGGAAUUUUGGACAAUGGGGGAAACCCUGAUCCAGCCAUGCCGCGUGAGUGAAGAAGGCCUUCGGGUUGUAAAGCUCUUUCAGCCGGAAAGAAAGCGCACAGGUUAAUACCUUGUGUGGAUGACGGUACCGGAAGAAGAAGCACCGGCCAACUACGUGCCAGCAGCCGCCGUAAGAC
rnacentral:rRNA from 1 species